rnacentral:rRNA from 1 species
CCUACGGGGGGCAGCAGUAGGGAAUAUUGGACAAUGGGGGCAACCCUGAUCCAGCCAUGCCGCGUGUGUGAAGAAGGCCCUCGGGUUGUAAAGCACUGUCAGUGAGGAAGAACGCCUGGUGGUUAAUACCCAUCAGGAAAGACAUCACUCACAGAAGAAGCACCGGCUAACUCCGUGCCAGCAGCCGCGGUAAUACGGAGGGUGCGAGCGUUAAUCGGAAUUACUGGGCGUAAAGCGCGCGUAGGUGGCUUGAUAAGCCGGUUGUGAAAGCCCCGGGCUCAACCUGGGAACGGCAUCCGGAACUGUCAAGCUAGAGUGCAGGAGAGGAAGGUAGAAUUCCCGGUGUAGCGGUGAAAUGCGUAGAGAUCGGGAGGAAUACCAGUGGCGAAGGCGGCCUUCUGGACUGACACUGACACUGAGGUGCGAAAGCGUGGGUAGCAAACAGGAUUAGAUACCCUGGUAGUC